GCAUCGGUAGUUCUGUGGUAAAAUACUCGCCUGCCACGCGGGGUUCGAUUCCCGGCCGAUGCA
rnacentral:tRNA from 1 species